rnacentral:rRNA from 1 species
AGCGCAGGCGGGAAGACAAGUUGGGAGUGAAGUCCAUGGGCUCAACCCAUGAACUGCUUUCAAAACUGUUUUUCUUGAGUAGUGCAGAGGUAGGCGGAAUUCCCGGUGUAGCGGUGGAAUGCGUAGAUAUCGGGAGGAACACCAGUGGCGAAGGCGGCCUACUGGGCACCAACUGACGCUGAGGCUCGAAAGUGUAGGUAGCAAACA